UACGAAGGGGGCUAGCGUUGUUCGGAAUUACUGGGCGUAAAGCGCACGUAGGCGGAUUGUUAAGUUAGGGGUGAAAUCCCGGGGCUCAACCUCGGAACUGCCUUUGAUACUGGCAAUCUUGAGUCCGGAAGAGGUGAGUGGAAUUCCUAGUGUAGAGGUGAAAUUCGUAGAUAUUAGGAAGAACACCAGUGGCGAAGGCGGCUCACUGGUCCGGAACUGACGCUGAGGUGCGAAAGCGUGGGGAGCAAACAGGAUUAGAUACCCCCGUAGUCCCUGAGCGGGCU
rnacentral:rRNA from 1 species